rnacentral:tRNA from 1 species
GGUUCGAUAACAUAAUGGUAAUGUUUUGGAUUGCAAAUCCUGAAAUGGCAGUUCAAAUCUGCCUCGGACCU